AUUGAACGCUGGCGGCAGGCUUAACACAUGCAAGUCGAACGAGUGGCGGACGGGUGAGUAAUGUCUGGGAAACUGCCUGAUGGAGGGGGAUAACUACUGGAAACGGUAUCUAAUACCGCAUACCAUCAGAUGUGCCCAGGUGGGAUUAGCUAGUGGGUGGGGUAAUGGCUCACCUAGGCGACGAUCCCUAGCUGGUCUGAGAGGAUGACCAGCCACACUGGAACUGAGACACGGUCCAGACUCCUACGGGAGGCAGAAGUGGGGAAUAUUGCACAAUGGGGGCAACCCUGACGCAGCCAUGCCGCGUGAAUGAAGAAGGCCUUCGGGUUGUAAAGUUCUUUCAGUAGCGAGGCGUUAACUACAGAAGAAGCACCGGCUAACUCCGUGCCAGCAGCCGCGGUAAUAC
rnacentral:rRNA from 1 species